CAGCAGCCGCGGUAAUACGUAGGUGGCAAGCGUUGUCCGGAAUUACUGGGCGUAAAGGGCUCGCAGGCGGUUUCUUAAGUCUGAUGUGAAAGCCCCCGGCUCAACCGGGGAGGGUCAUUGGAAACUGGGAAACUUGAGUGCAGAAGAGGAGAGUGGAAUUCCACGUGUAGCGGUGAAAUGCGUAGAGAUGUGGAGGAACACCAGUGGCGAAGGCGACUCUCUGGUCUGUAACUGACGCUGAGGAGCGAAAGCGUGGGGAGCGAACAGGAUUAGAUACCCCUGUAGUCCCUGUCUCUUAUAC
rnacentral:rRNA from 1 species